rnacentral:rRNA from 1 species
UACAGAGGUCUCAAGCGUUGUUCGGAUUCAUUGGGCGUAAAGGGUGCGUAGGCGGCGCUGUAAGUCGGGUGUGAAAUUUCGGAGCUUAACUCCGAAACUGCAUUCGAUACUGCGGUGCUUGAGGACUGGAGAGGAGACUGGAAUUCAUGGUGUAGCAGUGAAAUGCGUAGAGAUCAUGAGGAAGACCAGUGGCGAAGGCGGGUCUCUGGACAGUACCUGACACUGAGGCACGAAGGCCAGGGGAGCAAACGGG